rnacentral:rRNA from 1 species
GAUGUUCUGGGCCGCACGCGCGCUACACUGACAGAGCCAACGAGUUCUUCACCUUGGCCGAAAGGUCUGGGUAAUCUUGUUAAACUCUGUCGUGCUGGGGAUAGAGCAUUGCAAUUAUUGCUCUUCAACGAGGAAUGCCUAGUAAGCGCGUGUCAUCAGCAUGCGUUGAUUACGUCCCUGACCUUUGUACACACCGCCCGUCGCUACUACCGAUUGAAUGGCUCAGUGAGGCGUUCGGACUGGCUCGGGGAGGUUGGCAACGACCACCCCAAGCCGGAAAGUUCGUCAAACUCGGUCAUUUAGAGGAAGUAAAAGUCGUAACAAGGUCUCCGUAGGUGAACCUGCGGAGGGAUCAUUACACAAUAAAAUACGAAGGCCGUUCGCGGCUGGACUAUUUAUUACCCUUGUCUUUUGCGCACUUGUUGUUUCCUGGGCGGGUUCGCUCGCCACCAGGACCACAAUAUAAACCUUUUUUAUGCAGUUGCAAUCAGCGUCAGUAUAACAAAUGUAAAUCAUUUACAACUUUCAACAACGGAUCUCUUGGUUCUGGCAUCGAUGAAGAACGCAGCGAAAUGCGAUACGUAGUGUGAAUUGCAGAAUUCAGUGAAUCAUCGAAUCUUUGAACGCACAUUGCGCCCUUUGGUAUUCCAAAGGGCAUGCCUGUUCGAGCGUCAUUUGUACCCUCAAGCUUUGCUUGGUGUUGGGCGUUUUUGUCCCCCUCAAAAGGGACUCGCCUUAAAGUGAUUGGCAGCCGGCCUACUGGUUUCGCAGCGCACCACAUUUUUUGCGCUUGCAAUCAGCAAAAGAGGACGGCAAUCCAUCAAGACUCCUUCUCACGUUUGACCUCGGAUCAGGUAGGGGAUACCCGCUGAACUUAACCAUAUCAUAAGCCGGAGGAAAAGAAACCAACAGGGAUGGCCUAAUAACGGCGAGGGAACGGCACCGCUCAAAUUUGAAUCUGGUUUUUCCAAUCCAAUUGAAUUUCAAAGGGGCUUUGGUUUGCACGGUCCA